UACAAAUCAAAAAUUUAUAAGUCACAAUUCAUUUACCGAUCACAAAUCACAAAUAUUAUAAAUCACAACUUACUAUACAGUCACAAAUUAACAAUUUUUUAGGUCACACAUAAUUUCUUGAUCACAAUUUAUUUUUUUCAUUGUCAUAUAUUGCUUAUUAGUCACAAACUAACCAAUUUAAUAAUCAUAGUCAAACAAAUAAUUGUGACCACCACUAGCUCACUACCAACAAAUCAGACUCAAAAUGCCAUCACCUCACCACCGUCCUCCCCUCCACCAUCACUAUUUUCAUGACCACCAUAACCACAACAAAAACCGCAAUCAACACUCCUUCACAAACCCGCCAACAAGAAAUCAUCACUGUACUAACACAUCACCUGCGCGUUUAAAUCCACUACAAUCACCACCCGUACCACCAUCAUCAUCACAUCAACCACAUCACCUCCCAGAACAAACAAACACUACCACCUCUCGGCACCACCGCUAGCAACAAGAUCCACCACGACCCCCACAAACAAAAUCACAGCCACCACCAGAUCAAACAUAACCUCUGCCACUACUGGAUCCAACAAAUCCACCAAACACCACCACAACCACAACCCCUACCCACCAACUGAAAACACAACCUAAGAACUUAUAGCAGAUUGUGACGCUAUAGAUUUCGGUCACGGUGUGCAUUAAAUCUUGAUCACGGUUGAAUUAGCGUCGAUCUCACCUAUUGUGGUGCAGUGGCUCUUUGGUUUCGCAUAGAAAAUAACACCACCCAUAGACGCUCCUCUCUUUUGUCGCAAAACAGCAGUUGUGUGCCGCUCAUCUCAUCAAUCUACAGGCUACAGUCGUCGUCUUUCCGAUCGCGCUCAUCACUGUCACUGUGUAGAGAAAGAAACAAGAGUUUGGGAAAUAGAAAAGGGGUUGGCUAUGGCUGUGUGGAGAGAAAGAAGAUAUUGGGAAAUAAUUAGGGUUUUGAAUGGAAUAGUUGAGAUUAAUUAAUUUCUAUAGAUAUUAAGUAAUUAAUAAAACAUAUGAUUUUUGAAAUAGUAAAACUAGCAUAUGAUCUAUGAAAUAGAAUCUUUAAGAGUAGGCUCUAUGUAAUUUCUACAUUUAAGAACCGCAGCGUCAAACCCUAGUCAGCAAUACAG
rnacentral:lncRNA from 1 species